rnacentral:rRNA from 1 species
UACGGGGGGGGGUAAGCGUUGUUCGGAAUUACUGGGCGUAAAGCGUGCGUAGGCGGUUUGUUAAGUCUGUCGUGAAAGCCCCGGGCUCAACCUGGGAAUGGCGAUGGAUACUGGCGAGCUAGAGUACGGUAGAGGAGAGUGGAAUUCCCGGUGUAGCAGUGAAAUGCGUAGAGAUCGGGAGGAACUCAGUUGCGGAAGGCGGCUCUCUGGACCAGUACUGACGCUGAU